rnacentral:misc_RNA from 1 species
CACACCCUAAACCAACAGCCGGCCGUUUCGACGCCCUCACUCUUACUUAGCCGGUCUGCUGGCCGUUUUCUUAUUUUUUUGUGUGUGCGUGUGCGUGUGCGUGUAGGACGUCUUUCGCUGUUGUUUGCAUGCACUUGUGCCAGUCCCGUAAACCGUGUCUUAGUUGUUUUUAAUGAGCUCGAAAGGAGCCGCUAUGACGUCCAACGGCAACGGCGCGGCUCACGAGUCGCGGCCCGGCAAGAAGGGUCGCCGUGGAGGGCGACGUGCCGACCGUGAAGCAGCGGGUGCUCAGUUCGACUCCGGCAGCUCUCAAACCACCGAAAAAGGUGGCGACGAGUACCAAUACAAGCACCCCAAACCUCGAGUGCUGACGAGCUCUCUCUUCAUGUGGGAGCACGUCGCCGUUUUCAGCAUGCCGGCACAGGUGGCGGAGCUCGAGCGAGUUAGCCGCGAUGUGGCGCGGCUCCUCAAGGACUCCAACACCGGGACCCAUCCCAUGCAGCGCUACUGGAACGCACAGUGGAGCCGCAUCGUGUGGAAGGAGGAGGAGCUGUCAGAUGAAAAGAAGUACCUGGCGCCGACCAUGUUGACGCGCAGCGAAGGCAAGCGCAAGUGGAAGAAUGUGUUUGUUCAGGAGUAUCCGCUCUACCUGAAGCGCGUGUACCAGGGCAAGGGGGUGUGCAACAACGCUGUGAAUGCAGCCAAAGUACUGUUCAAUCGCCAAGUGUUGAACGCUGCCAAGACGGCGGCUGAGCUGGAGCAAAUGGAGCUGACCGUGGAAGAGGCGCGCGUGAAAGAGCAGAAGAAGCGCGGCGUUGACGUGGAAUUCGAAGAUACACCAGACACAGCGCCCAGCCCAUCCUCGCUUGGCUGCCAUCACGGCAGUUAUCCGGCAAAGGGAGAGCGUGAGAGGCAUGAGAAGGGCCGCCCACGAGCGGUGAAGAAGGCGCCACACGAGACCUACACCCGCAGCGACUAUAAGGAGGACUACAGAACAGGUGACCGCAAAGGUAAGCACAAGAAAGGUGGCACCGGACGUUGGUCGAAGUUCGACGACUUCGGCGACUACAACUACUGAAACGCGGUGGUGUGGAUGCGUGAGCAUCAGUGUCUUUUCUUCUCUGCAGGCACGCGGACAAUGAGCACGGGAUGGGGAGGAGCAAGAAGGGGUGAAGAGGACAGGGAUGGGGUGCGGCGCAGUGGCUUCCCCAACCCCUCUCCAUCAAUCGCCCUCCGUCCUUGCUCGCCAUCCGACGGCGGCUCACCAAUCGCACAGCAAACAUGCACGCCAUGAAGACGAAGGAAUACGGCUUGCAUAGACGCCAAGCAGCACAGCGUACAUCAUAAUCUUGCCUGUCUUCACUUGCCCACAUCCCUCUGCGCGCUUGUUUAUCUGUGUGAUGCGCACCGUGGCCCGCCCGCCUCUCCUCCUCCAUAUAUAUACAUAUACGUAUAUAUGUAUUUACGCACCGCAACACCAUCGCCCGCUUACGGAGUACCGCCGGAUAUGGUGUACGACUAUCACGAGACGAAGCAGUGGGCUGUGCAACUUCUGGAAGAACAGACGAAAAGGCGCACACGUGCGCACAAGGUAACACAAACGAC